GCCUCCGUAGCUCAGGGGAUAGAGCACCGCUCUCCUAAAGCGGGUGCCGCAGGUUCGAAUCCUGCCGGGGGCACCG
rnacentral:tRNA from 1 species